rnacentral:hammerhead_ribozyme from 1 species
AUCCAGCUGACGAGUCCCAAAUAGGUCGAAACGUGCGUCCUGGUU